rnacentral:snRNA from 1 species
AGAAACGUCAUUACUAUUUAAUU